rnacentral:rRNA from 1 species
ACUACGGGUGGCAGCAGUGAGGAAUAUUGGUCAAUGGGCGCGAGUCUGAACCAGCCAAGUAGCGUGAAGGAUGACUGCCCUAUGGGUUGUAAACUUCUUUUAUAUAGGAAUAAAGCGAGGUAUGCGUGCCCUCUUGUAUGUACCAUAUGAAUAAGGAUCGGCUAACUCCGGGCCAGCAGCCGCGGUAAUACGGAGGAUCCGAGCGUUAUCCGGAUUUAUUGGGUUUAAAGGGAGCGUAGGCGGAUUUUUAAGGCAGUGGUGAAAGUCUUGGGCUCAACCGUAAAAUUGCGGUUGAAACUGGGAGGCUUGAGUAUAUUUGAGGCGGGCGGAAGUCGGGGUGUAGCGGUGAAAUGCUUAGAUAUCACGCAGAACCCCGAUUGCGAAGGCAGCCUACCGGGCCAUAACUGACACUGAUGCGCGAAAGCGUGGGUAUCAAACAGGAUUAGAUACCCGAGUAGUC